CUGGUGGAGCUGGGUCCAACUGAUGCUUAUUGUGGAUGCACCAGCUGAUUGUGGGCUGUGAGGACUUAAUCCACCAAGGCCUAGAUACCAUUCCUCAGCACUGUGCGGUCAUAGUGUGUGAUCACAUGGUCCCUCAUGGCAGCAGAGCUACGGGGAGGAGGACUGGAUGUGAAAGUGGGAAAAACAAACUGCCUUAGCCACACUGGAUGAAGAGGCAGAGCUCAAGAGGCAAGAUCCAGUGGCUCCUACAGACCUCCAGGAAAGGAAAGACACUGCCUGCAUGGUGCCCGUUCACGUCCGUCAUUUAUUAUCUGGGUUCCUUUCACCUUUGCCUCUCUCCCAGCUAUUCCUCCCUCAGAUAAGCAUCCUAUGCUGUAUUUGGCCCAUUUGGCAGGGAUCUUUGUAUCUUGUCUCUUGUCUUUCCAAAUGAAGUCUGAGUGCAGCA